UACGUAGGGGGCAAGCGUUGUCCGGAAUCAUUGGGCGUAAAGAGCGUGUAGGCGGUUCGGUAAGUCGGCUGUGAAAGUCCAGGGCUCAACCCUGGGAUGCCGGUCGAUACUGCCGGACUAGAGUUCGGAAGAGGCGAGUGGAAUUCCCGGUGUAGCGGUGGAAAUGCGCAGAUAUCGGGAGGAACACCAGUGGCGAAGGCGGCGAUCUGGGUAGAUACUGACGCUGAGGUGCGAAAGCGUGGGGAGCAAACAGG
rnacentral:rRNA from 1 species